rnacentral:rRNA from 1 species
CCUACGGUGGCUGCAGUGGGGAAUAUUGGACAAUGGGCGAAAGCCUGAUCCAGCCAUGCCGCGUGUGUGAAGAAGGCCUUCGGGUUGUAAAGCACUUUCAGUGGGGAAGAAAGCCUUGGGGCUAAUACCCUCGAGGAAGGACAUCACCCACAGAAGAAGCACCGGCUAACUCCGUGCCAGCAGCCGCGGUAAUACGGAGGGUGCGAGCGUUAAUCGGAAUUACUGGGCGUAAAGCGCGCGUAGGCGGUCUGAUAAGCCGGUUGUGAAAGCCCCGGGCUCAACCUGGGAACGGCAUCCGGAACUGUCAGGCUAGAGUGCAGGAGAGGAAGGUAGUAUUCCCGGUGUAGCGGUGAAAUGCGUAGAGAUCGGGAGGAAUACCAGUGGCGAAGGCGGCCUUCUGGACUGACACUGACGCUGAGGUGCGAAAGCGUGGGUAGCAAACAGGAUUAGAUACCCCUGUAGUC